rnacentral:misc_RNA from 1 species
AAAGUCGUAACAAGGUUUCCGUAGGUGAACCUGCGGAAGGAUCAUUACCGAGAGACGGGGGCGGCUUCGCCCCCAACUCUUCACCCGUGUCUACCAGCCACUUGUUGCUUUGGCGGGCCUUCGGGGCUCCUCCGUGGGCGGCUUCGGCUGCCUCGCGCCCGCCAAAGACCCAUCCAACCCUGUAUCAGUGUCGUCCGAGGCGCCAUGGAAUAGCUAAAACUUUCAACAACGGAUCUCUUGGUUCCA